UAUAUCUUGUAUCCCAUUUUGCCUCAUAAUUGACAAUGGGAGGUGUGGUGGUAAAGGAUGAUUCACCCAGACAUACGUGGAUACCAGAAACAAAGCUUGAAUCAAAAUUGGCUGAGGCUAUCCGGAGGAGGGAAGCUGAAGGAUGUGCCAUAAAAUCAUUCAACAGCAUAAUCUUAAAAUUUCCAAAAAUUGAUGAGAGCUUAAGAAAAUGUAAAGAUAUCUUUGAGCAGUUUGGUAAGAAUCCAGCUCUCCUCUUUGUUUUUUUCCAAUAAGUUUAAUUCAUUUAGCAGUCAACAAACACAUGGGUUUAGACUUAAAUGUCAUAGUGCUCAUGCUUGAUGAAAUUUCGUAGCAUAAAUUUUUGAACCUUGGAGCACUUUUUUUUUAAUUGGAAUACAAAUCCUAUUUAUUAUGUGAUGCACAUGUAUUCAGGUGCAACAAAGCACACAUUUUAUACUUUAAUCACUUGCAAGUGGUAAGCAUUCAUUUUAUGUAUUUGUAGAUGAGGAUUCCAAUAAUACAAUUGAUCAAGAAGAGCUGAGAAAAUGUUUCCAAAAGCUGGGAGUUUCUUUUACAGAGGAGGAAAUUAAUGAUCUAUUUGAGGCAUGUGAUAUUAAUGGUGAUAUGGGGAUGAAGUUCAACGAGUUCAUUGUACUUCUCUGUCUUGUCUAUCUUCUUAAACAUGAUCCUACUGCUCUUCAUGCUGUAUCCAACUUUAAGCUACCAUUUGUUGCUUUUGCCUGAUAUUGCAUACAUAUGUUAGUAUUUUUAAGCUGUAGUUAGCUGGUUUUAGUAGACAACUUUUCCGAUGGCGUGGCAUAUUUAUUACUCAAUAGCAAAGGUUCUUUACUGAGUUUUCCUUUUCUAACAGUUUUUUCCCGAGCUAAUAUUAUUGCCCUUUUCAGUGAUAGCUUCCCCAAUGUUCCACAACCAUAAUGUAGGUUUCAUGGGCCUUUUUUAAUUCUUAAACUUACUGCUUCUUGGCAACUCAUAGUACUACUUACUGAACCUAGAAGGCGUCGCUCAGUUUUCACCAAAUUUUUGCAUCUGACCUCAUACUGUAGCUUUUGCAUUUAUGUAAUGACUGAAAAGUAAAUGGCUUCUGUCUUGGAGUGUUACUCUCAACAUAAGUUCAUUGGAAUUAAACUCAUGGAAUCUUAAAGAAUAUUUGCUUUCACAUGCAUAUUUUGACUAUUCAGCCAUAAGUGGAUGACCUCUUUAAAUUUCUUGCAUUUAGAAAUUUUAAGAUGCUGACUUAAAACCUUAGAUCCAGUGUCAGUGAGAGUUGAGCAAUGGUUUGUCCACAUGGAUGUGAACCAUUUAAAGGGCAGAGAUAGGGGGGUUGUCAUCUUGUCAUUUGUCUUAUGCAGUUAAUAUUGGAUAAAUUUUAACAACUGUCGCUGAAAUUAUAUAGUUGUAACAUUACAGUCCUUUAACUUUAAAAUGUGAUACAAAAUGGCCAAAAUAUUAUGGAUUGGCCAUAGUUUAGACAGCUUG
rnacentral:misc_RNA from 1 species